GAAAGUGCGAUAAGGGGACUCCAAGUGCGAGGGCAUAUAGUCCUCGCUUUUCACUACCGUAAGGUGGUAGUAGAAUAAGUGCUGGGCAAGACCGGUGCCAGCCGCCGCGGUAAUACCGGCAGCACGAGUGAUGACCGCUCUUAUUGGGCUAAAGCGUCCGUAGCUGGCCACGCAAGUCUAUCGGGAAAUCCGCGCGCUCAACGCGCGGGCGUCCGGUGGAAACUGUGUGGCUUGGGACCGGAAGAUCCAGAGGGUACGUCCGGGGUAGGAGUGAAAUCCCGUAAUCCUGGACGGACCACCGGUGGCGAAAGCGCUCUGGAAAGACGGAUCCGACGGUGAGGGACGAAAGCUCGGGUCACGAACCGGAUUAGAUACCCGGGUAGUCCGAGCUGUAAACGAUGUCUGCUAGGUGUGCCACAGGCUACGAGCCUGUGGUGUGCCGUAGGGAAGCCGUGAAGCAGACCGCCUGGGAAGUACGUCCGCAAGGAUGAAACUUAAAGGAAUUGGCGGGGGAGCACUACAACCGGAGGAGCCUGCGGUUUAAUUGGACUCAACGCCGGACAUCUCACCAGCAUCGACAAUGUGCAGUGAAAGUCAGGUUGAUGACCUUACUGGAGCCAUUGAGAGGAGGUGCAUGGCCGCCGUCAGCUCGUACCGUGAGGCGUCCUGUUAAGUCAGGCAACGAGCGAGACCCGCACUCCUAAUUGCCAGCAACACCCUUGUGGUGGUUGGGUACAUUAGGAGGACUGCCAGUGCCAAACUGGAGGAAGGAACGGGCAACGGUAGGUCAGUAUGCCCCGAAUGUGCUGGGCGACACGCGGGCUACAAUGGCCGAGACAGUGGGAUGCAACCCCGAAAGGGGACGCUAAUCUCCGAAACUCGGUCGUAGUUCGGAUUGAGGACUGAAACUCGUCCUCAUGAAGCUGGAUUCGGUAGUAAUCGCGCCUCAGAAGGGCGCGGUGAAUACGUCCCUGCUCCUUGCACACACCGCCCGUCAAAGCACCCGAGUGGGGUCCGGAUGAGGCCUCGAUUCCGAGGUCGAAUCUG
rnacentral:rRNA from 1 species